rnacentral:hammerhead_ribozyme from 1 species
UAAAUGCCUCUCUGUAUCGAGAUGUGUUAUCUCGACUGAUGAGUCCGAAAGGACGAAACAGAAAGUUCCUU